CACGUAGGGGGCGAGCGUUGUUCGGAUUUACUGGGCGUAAAGCGCGCGUAGGCGGGUCGCUAAGUCAGGGGUGAAAUCCCGAGGCUUAACCUCGGAACUGCCUUUGAUACUGACGACCUGGAGAUCGGGAGAGGUUGGUGGAAUUCCGAGUGUAGAGGUGAAAUUCGUAGAUAUUCGGAGGAACACCAGAAGCGAAGGCGGCCAACUGGCCCGAUACUGACGCUGAGGCGCGAAAGCGUGGGGAGCAAACGGG
rnacentral:rRNA from 1 species